rnacentral:rRNA from 1 species
GUGGGGAAUCUUCCGCAAUGGGCGAAAGCCUGACGGAGCAACGCCGCGUGAGUGAAGAAGGCCUUCGGGUCGUAAAGCUCUGUCUUCAGGGACGAAAAGGCAGGGGAGUAAUAUGCCCUUGUUGUGACGGUACCUGAGGAGGAAGCUCCGGCUAACUACGUGCCAGCAGCCGCGGUAAUAAGUAGGGAGCGAGCGUUGGCCGGAAUUACUGGGCGUAAAGGGCGCGUAGGCGGGAAUUUAAGUAAGGUGUGAAAACUCCGGGCUCAACCUGGAGACUGCACUUUAAACUGGAUUUCUUGAGGGCAGGAGAGGAAAGUGGAAUUCCUAGUGUAGCGGUGAAAUGCGUAGAUAUUAGGAGGAACACCAGUGGCGAAGGCGACUUUCUGGACUGUACCUGACGCUGAGGCGCGAAAGCGUGGGGAGCGAACAGGAUUAGAUACCCUGGUAGUCC